CUUUUAUCCCCUAAAUCUACUUCAAUCCUUGAGUUUUUCUCUCAAAACAUAGUUGAAGAUAAUUGACUGAUACUGGUUUCUUCAGGUAGGGAUAAUUUGAACUUUUUGUUUCUUAUGGCGUGUAUUUGUUGUUAUUCUGCUUUGGUCUCUUAGACGUUCAUGUUCUUAAGAAAUGGCCCUUUGGAGAGGAAGACACUUCGGAUUGUUACUUGUCCACAGUUGGUAGAUAAUCAGUUUUCGAGACCAAUGAUAGAUAAGGUGCACUUUCUUUCUUAGUUCAGUAGAACAACAUUGUUUUCUUGAAUUCUUGAUUUCCUAAUGGCCUUCGAUCAGCUUAGUUAUUAUCUUUAAUCAUCUCUUACCUUGUAAUGGAUGGUAGUUAAGCAAAGUUGUUAUAGGAUGCAGAGUAUGGACAACUACGGGCGUAAUAGCGCGUGACAGGCCAAUGACAACUUUGGCUCUUGCGUCUAGAGAUUCCAAAACCUGGAGAUUUCAACAGGCCGGGACAUAUUUUCCCAUUGAAGUACGGGGAGGGUGGUAUCCUGAAAAGAGCUGGGUGUACAGAGGCUUCUGUCGACCUUGCUGUAUCUGCCGGAUUGGUGCCUGUGGCAGUUCUCUGUGAGUUAGUGGAUGAUGAUGGCUCCAUGGCAAGAUUACCUAAAGUUUCGCGAGCCUGCACAGCAGGAGAGCUUGAAGAUUGUAUUUCUUGCUGAUCUAAUCAGGGCAACAUUGGAGAUGAUUGGGAUGUCCUUGUUAGGGUACACUCGGGAUUCAUCCCAGGAGACAUAUCUGGAUCUGCUAGAUGCCACAGCAGCAACCAGCUUGCACUUGUGAUGUAACAGAUAGAAGCGGCGGCAGGGGCAUGUGGUCCACCUCCGAGGGCACGAAGGAAGAGGAAUAGGUUUAAGGCACAUAUCACGUGCCUAUAACAUGCAGGAAGAUAGGCGUGAUGCCUUGGAAGCAAAUGUAGAGCUUGGUUUGCCCGUUGACUACAGAUGUUGCGUGACCUGGGGGUCAGAACUAUGGAGCAGAUGAAGUACAUCGGUCUUAUGGCUUGAUUAUUGCUGAGAGUCCCUCUAGUAACUCCCGCAACAAAGGAGAACAAGAGAUGCUUGGAGACAAAAUGCUCCCAGAUGGGCACAUCUAUGGAGCGGACAAUGGCCUCUUCAGAAAUCUCAUCGGCAAAAACGGCAAGGUGAGCAGCCCUGUCUCUUUCGAUCCAGCUGUGUCUGACUCAUAGAACCUGAGGAGAACAAGAGAUGGUUUGAGACAAAACAGUCCAAGAUGGGCACAUCUAUGGAGCGGACAAUGGCCUCUUCAGCAAUCUCAUCAGCAAAAACGGCAAGGCGAGCAGCCCUGUUUCUUUCGAUCCAGCUGUGUCUGACUCAUAGAACCUGCUAAGUAGUUUGACUGCUAAUGAUUUACACGGGGGGUCACAAGCAAGUUCACUAACAGAUGGUGCUAUUACUUAAUUUUAAAAGCACUAAGGUAAAGAACAUUGGGAUACCUGCUGACGAUGAGUUCUGGAAAUUUUAUGGCAAUCCAGUUUUAUAAUUA